UACGGAGGGUGCUAGCGUUGUUCGGAAUUACUGGGCGUAAAGGGCGCGUAGGCGGCCGUUUGCGUCGGAUGUGAAAGCCCGGGGCUCAACCUCGGAACGGCAUUCGAUACGGGACGGCUGGAGACCGGGAGAGGAGAGUGGAAUAGCCAGUGUAGAGGUGAAAUUCGUAGAUAUUGGCUGGAACACCGGUGGCGAAAGCGGCUCUCUGGCCCGGUUCUGACGCUGAGGAGCGAAAGCGUGGGGAGCAAACAGG
rnacentral:rRNA from 1 species